GGAGAGUACCUGAAAAACACAAAAGAAAAAGAAAACCAGUAUUGAAGGGAUCAUUACGGGAUUCGGAACUUAAACCUGAGCUCUUUGAGGCACUGCACCCUGUAGGGAACCCUUCAUUUUCUGCAUAAAGUGAGUUUUGCUGAGAAAGGAUCAUGAGAUUCGACAGAUGUUAUUUUUUACUUCAAGCUAACUGCUUUAACGGAAGCCUGUUUUAUGGAUCUAUGACGCCAGUUCUGACGAAAAGUCCAAAGGCCAACUUUGUUUUUUCAGGCAGCACUGGAAAUCAAAGCGAGCCUUCUGAAGGUGGGGCAGGGAAGAGGACUUGGCUCCAACAGACUUGAAGAUAUUGCAGCAUCAGAGAUUUUCCACAGAAACAACUCACAGUGCUGGAUGUGGUUUCCUCCAGCCCAGGUCUGGCCACAUGGCUUGGCUAUUAAAUGUGUCAUGCAUUUAACUGGA